rnacentral:lncRNA from 1 species
CCCCUGCAAAAUCGAUACAUGUAUUCUCUCAUGCCGUCAUGGAAGUGAGAUUAUGUAGGAAGGAAUAAGGAUGAGACGAACUAAAGACAAUUGAAUCGGAUUAUGUCACAGUGAUUCUGUCCACUUGAGGUGGUGAUUUCGUGCGGUUGUGAGAGAGAGGGUUCUUACUUUGUCAUUAGCUCCUUGCGCCAUCCUAGGGGCGGUCCUCGCCUGCAUGACAUAGUGUUCAUAGGUAAAUACAUACUUAAAGACAAUUGAAUCGGAUUAUUUCACGGUGAUUCUGUCCACUUGAGGUGGUGAUUUUGUGGGGUUGUGAGAGAGAGGGAUCUUACUUUGUCAUUAGCUCCUUGCGCCGUCCCAGGGGCGGUCCUUGCCUGCAUGACAUAGUGUUCAUAGGUAAAUACAUAAUUAAAGAGAAUUGAAUCGGAUUAUGUCACAGUGAUUCUGUCCAUCGGAUUAUGUCAUGGUGAUUCUGUCCACUUGAGGUGGUGAUUUCGUGGGGUUGUGAGAGAGAGGGAUCUUACUUUGUCAUUAGCUCCUCGCAUUGUCCCAGGGGCAAUACUCACCUGCAUGACAUAGUGUUCAUAGGUAAAUACAUACUUAAAGACAAUUGAAUCGGAUUAUGUCAUGGUGAUUCUGUCCACUUGAGGUGGUGAUUUCAUGGGGUUGUGAGAGAGAGGGAUCUUACUUUGUCAUUAGCUCCUCGCACUGUCCCAGGGGCAAUACUCACCUGCAUGACAUAGUGUUUAUAGGUAAAUACAUACUUAAAGACAAUUGAAUCGGAUUAUGUCAUGGUAAUUCUGUCCACUUGAGGUGGUGAUUUCGUGCGGUUGUGAGAGAGAG